rnacentral:rRNA from 1 species
UACAGAGGUCCCGAGCGUUGUUCGGAUUCACUGGGCGUAAAGGGUGCGUAGGUGGUGAGGUAAGUCGGAUGUGAAAUCCCCGGGCUUAACCUGGGAACUGCGUUUGAAACUACAAGGCUAGAGUGUGGCAGAGGGGGGUGGAAUUCCACGUGUAGCAGUGAAAUGCGUAGAGAUGUGGAGGAACACCGAUGGCGAAGGCAGCCCCCUGGGUUAACACUGACGCUCAGGCACGAAAGCGUGGGGAGCAAACAGG